AUACUUACCUGGCAGGGGAGAUACCAUGAUCAUGAAGGUGGUUUUCCCAGGGCGAGGCUUAGCCAUUGCCCUCCAGAUGUGCUGACCCCUGCAGUUUCCCCAAAUGUGGGAAACUCGACUGCAUAAUUUGUGGUAGUGGGGAACUGCAUUCACACUCUUCCCCU
ensembl:snRNA U1 U1 spliceosomal RNA